UACAGAGGCCCCAAGCGUUAGGCGGAAUCACUGGGCUUAAAGCGUGUGUAGGCGGCUCGUUAAGUGUCUUGUGAAAUCCCACGGCUCACCCGUGGAACUGCUGGGCAUACUGGCGAUCUUGGGCCAACUAGGGGCAGCCGGAACAAGCGGUGGAGCGGUGAAAUGCGUAGAUAUCGCUUGGAACGCCGAAGGUGAAAACAGGCUGCUGGGGUUGCGCCGACGCUGAGACACGAAAGCCAGGGGAGCAAACGGG
rnacentral:rRNA from 1 species